AGCCCCGCCCUGGAGUGGGUGGGUGGUAGCCUGAAUGGAGGAUCCCAUCCUGUGGGCUGGGUGGCCUCAGGGGGAUGUUCAAAGAGCUCUGCUUCAGAGCCCUCAUUUCCACACUACACUCACUUUGGACAGCAGAUUUCAGAGUGACCUUACACAGUAGUGUUACUUGGAGAAGGUGCAUAGAAUAUUUGACAUGGCUCCCAAAGCUCCCUUUUCAAAGGGGUCUUUGUUGGAGUUUUGAUGAACUGCACAUCAUCACACUGUGGGCAGGCAAUUUCUUGUUCAAAGCCUUAAAGCUGGGGUACCCUCCUAACUUGUGUCCUGGUUUCGAAUUUCACCAUCCACCUCUGCAGACCUCCAUGGAUCCGAUUGUCCCGAUUGCUUGAGGAGGUGAUGGGAAUUGAAACCAGUGGAAGGAAGUGCCUGAUACACUGUUCAUGGUAGCCAAAUGUGCUGUUUGAUAACUUUAACCUGCUCACCUUUCAUCUACAUUCAUCACCUCCAACUCAUGAAGGACACCUCACCUGUGGGAAUUUCCUUACAGAGUAAGACAAAUACCAAGAAAAUUUGGAAAUUUCACCAACAGGAAGUCAGAUGACAGAUUUUCACAGAGCAGGCACCAUCAUCCCGAGGACAACGGAGGAAGCACAGAGUGUGGACCCACACUCUUCUUUUUAUGUAAUCCUUGAUGAGUAGUGGACAUUGAUUAAGGAACUGAGGAACAGAGAGCUUGAGAGUGCUGCCCAAAGCCAUUGGAGCUCAACUCCCAGGCAAAUUGUACACCGUCAUGGAAAAAUUGAGGACCAUGACUUAUACACCAGCUGGAUUCCAGCUCUGCUUCCCCUUCAGGCCCAGCACAAGUUGGGCAUCGCUUUACCUUACUUGGGUGCCCUCUGCUCUGAGACCCCUGGGACGCUCCCUCUUUACCAACUGAAGGCAGCGUGUGGUCUGUUUGUAAUUAUGCUGGGACAAAAAUGUCUCUGUGCUUCCAUCUCUGAACAGGAAUCAGUGUUUUUCAUACAAGGACGAUGAUGGAUUUUCUAUACCUUCUCAGUUAUGUGCUCACAGCCUGUUGCUCUUGUUAGAAUCCAGGAAGGUGAAAUCUGUCUUUCUGGCUCACCACAUAGCUCCACAGGCUCAUGCAGACCUAAGCAUCUAUAUGAAUUUGUUAUUUAUUGGCUGGUCAAUAUACAGAAGAGUGAAUACCUUGAUGGUGAUCUCUUGAUUCAAAUUAUUUGAAUUUGGGGGAGUGGGGAAGUGGGGUUCAUAUAUGUUUCCUAAGACUUUAUCCAUUUGAAAUAUAAGAGCAAUAACGCUGUGUGUGUGUGGUGGGGAGAGAUAGUGUAAUCACUUAGAAGCAUUUUAUGAAUUCACAAACAUUAUGAGCUGAUAGAAUUUUUGGCAUGGCUAAAAAGAUAGAAAUAUGAAAUAAAAGUGGCCUUUAUUUUAAGAAUGCAGAGAGAGAAUCCCAUUGUUGUACUCUACUCAAAAAACAGGGCCCCAUGCUGAAAAAUGGGGCAAGACCCCAAGAUGACAAACGGGGCAAGAUGUCUUUUUUAAAAGAAGCGCUUUUAUUUUAGCUGGCCCAGCGACACAGUACAGAUGGAAUUGCAAAGCUGUGCAACUGAGUUAGAGUUUUGACUGAUUUUUAUAGUUCAUUUAUGAUUAGCUCAUUGAUCAUUAAGUACAUAGUGAUGAGAAACAGAAAUAAGGUGGGCCUUGUUCCCCUUUGCUUGAGGUAAGAGGCAUUUCACAGUGGGUGGUUAGCCAAUUCAUAGCCUUUGGUCUGCCAAUUCCAAGAACAUUUGUCUCUCAUAAAGGGAACAAUGGUUGACACAGCAUCAUUUGUCUCUUACAAGGGGAACAAAAGUUGAU